AGUUUUGGAUUUGGAUGUAAAAACAAAAUUAGGUGGAAUUGUUGUUCCUGUGAUCGGAAGUCCCUAUUAAGGACCGGGGAUAUUUGCUCCAUAUAUAUCUUGCUUUCUGCGUCAUUUGUGGGCCAAUCUGCGCCUUCCAAAGGUUCCUGCAAUUGGAAAAGUGUCCCUGAUCUUUUGGUUUUUUUCAAGGUCUGCCAUGAUAUGGUGAUUACGAAGUGAUUCCAGCUCAAAAUAUAAAUGCUUUUUGAUGAUUUCGCACGUUCUGGGCCAUACAUUUGAUUUGCUUUCACACCGUGGCCUAAAAAGAGGCUUCGACUUCGACUUCGGCUUCCUGUUCAACAAGUAAAAGGCCUGCCCAGGUGUGAUAUAUCGUUUAUAUAAAUCUUCAUAUGGAGAUAUAUCUAAUACUGAUUCUAUCGAAAGAAUUGUUGGUUAUCUAGUAGAUACGGAUUGGAAUGAUGAUUUGGAAGCGCCUUUUGACCCCCUUCAAUCACGCCUCACGCUGCCAUCUCUAGCGUUGAACUACAUCUUCCAAUUUCGGAGUAUUCAUUUACUUGAGUUUCACUUUGAAAUGCAAACCAGAGGCAAAACGUGGCGCACAACGCAUCCAUAUCCGCUAAUUACGCAGCCACCAGCGGCCUGGCCUGGCCUGGCCCCUGCCCAUACCCCAGACCUCAGACCCCAUGGAAAGUGUAAACAAAUUUUGCCCACAGAUUAUUUGAACCAAAUUCCGUAAACCAAUGUAAAUAUGCUUCAUCUGAUCAACGAUGUCCAUAUGUCUAUAGAUCCUCUAUAGAUCAUGAAUAAAUGAAGAAUAUAUUAAAUAUACUAAAGACUAAAGAGCAUCCAAAUUUGCCAAAGAGUCUAUCAAAAGUCACCCGAAAAUGGUGUCCACUAAUCAACCAGACUCUGUGCUUUCCCCAGUUAUAUUCAGCUCCCAUGUGGCCCUUAUUUCGAUUGAAUUAGUUUGCUAAAACUUGUAAUGAAAUGUUAUCCUUUAGUCGGUAACCAAUAACAACUUUCUUACUUGUCUACUCAAGCACAAAAUGUAUUUUCAUCCCAUAGAAAAUAGCUUGGCCCUCCCCCGAAAAUGCAAACAAAUUGCAAACAAAGUUAUUGAUUAAAUGCAAGCAGAUUUUCUUUCAUCGG
rnacentral:sRNA from 1 species